AAUAUUAUUAUAUUCUGGUGAACCCUCUCUUAGGGGUUCACUGAUAUACAUGCUCUAAGGGCCCAAACGUUACAAAAUUAGACAUGCAUACAAACACGUGGAACACUCUACUUAAAUAAAGACAUGUGUCAUAGUGAGAAGCUCAUCGUCAUGCAUCGCCGUCGGCUCUCCCGUCCGUCGAACUUUAUGCAAAAACUUUCGCGAUGCUUGCUCUAGUACCACUGCUUGAUCUCCCGCAUGAUUUUAUCAUCAGAUCUUCUUGAUUAUCAUCGGAAUAAGCACUAGGAUCGUCCAAUCGUCGCCUAAACACAUUGAACAAAUUCCCGUCGACUUGAAAUUCCGUUCACAAAGGAAGACUUCACCUUAUACUUGCCGAGAUUUACAUCGGAAGGGAAGAUUGAUAACCUCAGUGAUUGAAACUUCAAGCAAUCGAUGAAACUCAGACUCGAUCCCCGUUGAAAUUCGACAUGCUGAAGAUUAGAUCCGAACGAAAGUCGGAAAUUGUUCUCCGUUAAACGGAAGUUUAUUAUCCGAUAUAUACGGAAGAAAAAAUCCGAUCACUUGAAUCGGAAGUUAGAGAGAAAAAUCACCCUCUCUCUCUCUGAAAGAUAAGAAAGAGAAAAGAGAGAGAAGGGAAAAAAACUCUCCUCACUAAAUUACAAAUUUUAGUAAGAUAUGU
rnacentral:lncRNA from 1 species